GGAAAGUAAGCUCUGAUGAGGUUUAAACUUCCUAGAGGUAGAAAUUUACAUUUUUUUUUUAAGUAGAGGGAUCGAGAGAAUGUAGACUCAAACCCUUGGACCAAGCCAGAUUUCGCCAAGUUCACACAUAUGACAUAACCAGAAAUUCGUAUCAUCGAAUACAGAAAUACCACAACAAUCAACCUCUUCAAUACUCUAAUUUCAUUUGUAUGGCCUAAACAGCUUUCAAGACUAAUCUUAAUUUUACCAUCAAAGAUAUCUUCACAAAGUUACCAGGAAACUAGCCCUUUAACAACCCGUGAGGUUGAGUGCACAUAGAUUUCAACAACGUGAACAGGGAAUUACAGAAUACCGAAUAAACAUACUCCUACAGGUAAAGAAAUCGUUCCAGCCUCGGAGACAUAAAAUCAGCUUUUUUAGCAGUAACUUAAUGUAUGAAAGUUCAAUGCAAUGAUAACAUGUGAUGCAGGGGAAGAAAGCCAUAAACAAGAAUC
rnacentral:misc_RNA from 1 species